ACGUAUUCUGAAAGGGAUACUUUCUUCGGACAAAUAUACAAGGUGCUGCAUGGUUGUCGUCAGCUCGUGCCGUGAGGUGUCGGGUUAAGUCCCAUAACGAGCGCAACCCCUAUCAUUAGUUGCCAUCAGGUCAAGCUGGGGACUCUAAUGAAACUGCCUACGCAAGUAGUGAGGAAGGUGGGGAUGACGUCAAAUCAGCACGGCCCUUACGUCCAGGGCUACACACGUGCUACAAUGGCCGAUACAGAGGGCAGCUACCUGGUGACAGGAUGCAAAUCUCCAAAGUCGGUCUCAGUUCGGAUCGGAGUCUGCAACCCGACUCCGUGAAGUUGGAUUCGCUAGUAAUCGCGCAUCAGCCAUGGCGCGGUGAAUACGUUCCCGGGCCUU
rnacentral:rRNA from 1 species